UACGUAGGUGGCAAGCGUUGUCCGGAUUGACUGGGCGUAAAGCGCACGCAGGCGGCUGUGCACGUGGGGUGUGAAAGGUGGCGGCUUAACUGCCACACGCCACCUCAUACGGCACGGCUCGAGCCCGUGAGAGGUCCACGGAAUUGCCGGUGUAGUGGUGAAAUGCGUAGAUAUCGGGAGGAACAUCAGUGGCGAAAGCGGCACCCUGGCAUUAGCCUGACGCUCAUGUGCGAAAGCGUGGGGAGCGAACGGG
rnacentral:rRNA from 1 species